GAUGAACGCUGGCGGCGUGCCUAAUACAUGCAAGUCGAGCGAACAGACGAGGAGCUUGCUCCUCUGACGUUAGCGGCGGACGGGUGAGUAACACGUGGAUAACCUACCUAUAAGACUGGGAUAACUUCGGGAAACCGGAGCUAAUACCGGAUAAUAUAUUGAACCGCAUGGUUCAAUAGUGAAAGACGGUUUUGCUGUCACUUAUAGAUGGAUCCGCGCCGCAUUAGCUAGUUGGUAAGGUAACGGCUUACCAAGGCAACGAUGCGUAGCCGACCUGAGAGGGUGAUCGGCCACACUGGAACUGAGACACGGUCCAGACUCCUACGGGAGGCAGCAGUAGGGAAUCUUCCGCAAUGGGCGCAAGCCUGACGGAGCCACGCCGCGUGAGUGAUGAAGGUCUUCGGAUCGUAAAACUCUGUUAUUAGGGAAGAACAAAUGUGUAAGUAACUAUGCACGUCUUGACGGUACCUAAACAGAAAGCCACGGCUAACUACGUG
rnacentral:rRNA from 1 species